GGAUGUAAGGGCCAUCUGGCUGUGAGAUCUGUCACCCCACUGAUCGUCAGGGUUCAUUGGGCUAGGGGUGAUUGCCAGGGUUGAUCUAGCUAACCUGGCUGGCUAGACUGGUGUUCCUUUCCUCCCUCACCACUCCAUGUGUGUCCCUUCCAAAACUGUGUGCUUGGCAGAAGAGGACGACCAUCCCCGAUAGAGGAGGACCGGUUUUCGGUCAAGGGUAUACGAGUAGCUGUGCUCCCCCCUGCUAGAACUUCCAAAUAAGCUCUCAAGAAUGUGAAAAAUCUGAAACUCAUAUACUGCUGGUUGCUGGAAGGAAUAUAAAAUGCUGCAAACACUUUAAAAAGCAUUUUGGCAGUUU
ensembl:misc_RNA 7SK 7SK RNA